UACGGAGGUUGCAAGCGUUAUCCGGAAUUACUGGGUUUAAAGGGUGCGUAGGCGCCUUCAUAAGUCAUGCGUGAAAGCCUAUCGCUUAACGAUAGAAUUGCCUUUGAUACUGUAAAGCUUGAAAGGGGUUGAGGUCAGCAGAAUGUGGCAUGUAGCGGUGAAAUGCAUAGAUAUGCCAUAGAACACCGAUUGCGAAGGCAGCUGGCUGGGCCUACUUUGACGCUGAGGCACGAAAGCGUGGGGAGCGAACAGG
rnacentral:rRNA from 1 species